GCCUAAUACAUGCAAGUCGGACGGGAUUCAGGGAAUAGCUUGCUAGGAACUGAUGAGAGUGGCGCACGGGUGCGUAACGCGUGAGCAACCUACCCAUAUCAGGGGGAUAGCCUCUCGAAAGAGAGAUUAAUACCGCAUAACAUCAUUUAACGGCAUCGUUGAAUGAUCAAAUAUUUAUAGGAUAUGGAUGGGCUCGCGUGACAUUAGCUAGUUGGCGGGGUAACGGCCCACCAAGGCUACGAUGUCUAGGGGCUCUGAGAGGAGAAUCCCCCACACUGGUACUGAGACACGGACCAGACUCCUACGGGAGGCAGCAGUAAGGAAUAUUGGUCAAUGGAGGGAACUCUGAACCAGCCAUGCCGCGUGCAGGAUGACUGCCCUAUGGGUUGUAAACUGCUUUUGUCCAGGAAUAAACACCUCUACGUGUAGGGGCUUGAAUGUACUGGAAGAAUAAGGAUCGGCUAACUCCGUGCCAGCAGCCGCGGUAAUACGGAGGAUCCAAGCGUUAUCCGGAUUUAUUGGGUUUAAAGGGUGCGUAGGCGGUCUUAUAAGUCAGUGGUGAAAUACGGCAGCUUAACUGUCGCAGUGCCUUUGAUACUGUAGGACUUGAAUACACUUGAAGUGGGCGGAAUAAGACAAGUAGCGGUGAAAUGCAUAGAUAUGUCUUAGAACUCCGAUUGCGAAGGCAGCUCACUAAGGUGUGAUUGACGCUGAUGCACGAAAGCGUGGGGAUCAAACAGGAUUAGAUACCCUGGUAGUCCACGCCCUAAACGAUGAUAACUCGAUGUUGGCGAUACACAGUCAGCGUCCCAGCGAA
rnacentral:rRNA from 1 species